rnacentral:sRNA from 1 species
AAAAAUCAUCAAAUUCCUUUUGAAGAGUUAUGAUUUUUCCUUUACUUUUAGGAAACGUUAUGAUAUGCUUUUAUUGACUGUAGUUACAGUCAGUAAUAUUUUUUUGGAGGUACUUUUCAAUGAAUAAAGGUACAGUAAAAUGGUUUAACAACCAAAAAGGUUACGGAUUCAUUUCUGACGAGUCUGGAAAUGACGUAUUCGUACACUACUCAGGACUGAACAUGGAUGGUUUCAAAUCCCUUGAAGAAGGUGCUGCAGUAGAGUUCGAAGUUGUAGAAGGAGCAAAAGGUCCUCAGGCAACUAACGUAACAGUAGUAAAAUAAUUUUACUACACGCGGUAUUCC